CGGACGUGGGUAACCUGCCUCAUACAGGGGGAUAGCAGCUGGAAACGGCUGAUAAAACCGCAUAAGCGCACAGCAUCGCAUGAUGCAGUGUGAAAAACUCCGGUGGUAUGAGAUGGACCCGCGUCUGAUUAGCUGGUUGGUGAGGUAACGGCCCACCAAGGCGACGAUCAGUAGCCGGCCUGAGAGGGUGACCGGCCACAUUGGGACUGAGACACGGCCCAA
rnacentral:rRNA from 1 species